ACUCUCUUAGUAUAACANAAUAGUACAGUUGACUUCCAAUCAACUAGUCCUGGUAUAAACCCAGGAGAGAGUA
rnacentral:tRNA from 1 species